GUGGGCAUGGUGUAGUGGUUUGAACAUUGGGCUAUGACUCUGGAGACUAGGGUUUGAAUCCCUUGGCCAUG